rnacentral:rRNA from 1 species
GGGUGAGUAACACGUAUGGAACCUGCCCGUAGCAGGGGGAUAAGCGGAAGAAAUUCCGUCUAAUACCGCGUAAUAACUCCGAGAGGCAUCUCAUGGAGUUUAAAGGGUAACACCGGCUACGGAUGGCCAUGCGGCGCAUUAGCUAGUUGGCGGGGUAACGGCCCACCAAGGCGACGAUGCGUAGGGGUUCUGAGAGGAAGGUCCCCCACACUGGUACUGAGACACGGACCAGACUCCUACGGGAGGCAGCAGUGAGGAAUAUUGGUCAAUGGGCGCGAGCCUGAACCAGCCAAGUCGCGUGAGGGAAGACGGUCCUAUGGAUUGUAAACCUCUUUUGUCGGGGAGCAAAAGACGCCACGCGUGGCGUUCCGAGAGUACCCGAAGAAAAAGCAUCGGCUAACUCCGUGCCAGCAGCCGCGGUAAUACGGAGGAUGCGAGCGUUAUCCGGAUUUAUUGGGUUUAAAGGGUGCGCAGGCGGAAGAUCAAGUCAGCGGUAAAAUUGAGAGGCUCAACCUCUUCGAGCCGUUGAAACUGGUUUUCUUGAGUGAGCGAGAAGUAUGCGGAAUGCGUGGUGUAGCGGUGAAAUGCAUAGAUAUCACGCAGAACUCCGAUUGCGAAGGCAGCAUACCGGCGCUCAACUGACGCUCAUGCACGAAAGUGUGGGUAUCGAACAGGAUUAGAUACCCUGGUAGUCCACACAGUAAACGAU